GUCAGCAAUAUGAUUUCUAUUUCUUAAUUGGUUAUGCAAGUUUUCUGUGAUCCGUUUUCACUUUUCUAUUUAGUGUCAUUUCUCUUUACGCCUUUAUUCAUACCUGUUUUAUUUACUUGGGGAAGGGGGUCCUGUCCUUAAUUGCAUACUUUUUCAACAUAUUCAACUUCCAUUUUGUUUUUCAUCUUAAUUUUUCUCAUUUUUUUUCUUCAAUCACAUUAAACCAUUCCUUUUUCAAGCAAAUAUGGAAUGGGCAAACAGAAUCCAUUAACCACUCAU
rnacentral:misc_RNA from 1 species